CGCCGCCGGAACUUCCGCCGCCGCGCCCGCCGCCGUAGCCGCCGCCGCCGCCGGAACUACAGGGAGUGAGGGUUGUGUUCGGUUAACUCUAACUUUGAAAAAUGGUCAGCAUUGGUGUUUUCCGGGUGAUGCACCUUGUCAAGGCUCUGUGAUCUGGUGCUGGGACACUUUUGACUGACAAGGUGAAUGUCUUCUUUCAAUCCUGGAAGUGAUCACUGAAACCAUUUGAAUUUAACCUCCAAAGUCUCUGAAUGGGAAGCCAUAGGCUGAAUGGCCCUCUUCCUGCAAUUGGCCCUGUGUCUGGAUUAUUUCACCAAAGUUUGAUGUUAUACCAAGGACAGCUGGCAUAGGAGAUCGUCCUUCAGAGACUCCACGUGGGCCUCCAGAUCGGCUUUGCACAGAGUCAACUCACCCAGGAUCCCACGCAGGCCGCCAAUGUCCGUCUCCAGCAGCUGGCGAAGAGACAGUUCAGACUCGUACCUUUCACGGCAAAAGAGAUACAGCCAAUGCUUACUUGGCUGGAGACAGUGCUGGGGAUGCUGGGGAGUGACAAGAGGACUCAAGGAAGCCACAUCCCAAAUAAUAAAUGUGAGUUUUGUGAGCAUUCUUAGCUUUUAAAAAGCUUAUAGAGAGAAUAUUUGUGGUGUCUGCACACGCACUUGUGUGUGUGAGAGAGACAGAGAGAGCGAGAGAGUGAGAGAGAGGCAGUCAUAAAUUAUUCUCAAGUUCAAAUUCAACUUACUUUGACCUAAAGUCAUCGGCAGCCAGUUUGCAGUUAUCAAGCUGAACAGCAAGUCUAGAAUUCUCUGCCUUUGUGCACAAGAUCUGGGAAGGAAGGUCGUUAUAUGUAAUAGAUGGCCCUUUGAAAGAAACCUAAAUAUCUAUUCAUUUAACAACUAUGCCAUUAUUUAUCUUUUAAAAGUCUUUAUAAGAAAGUAUAAAAUAGCUUUCAGCCUACUUCUCUUAUUAGCCAUGUCACUUCAUGAAGAGACAAGCAGGACCAAUUUAUAAAAGAAAUAGAUAAAAAAGGUUAGUUUUUCAAUGGCCUGAGACAUUUUGCAAUAUUCCUUGACAGUUGAACUCUGAUUUUUCUCCAUAAGUGGUUUGUAUUAUGACUCUGUCCCCACUCCAUGAAAAUAAAAAUUCAUCUGUAAGAAAAUGAUUCCUAGGGUGAAAUUAUGUGAUUAAAACGAUGACAUUUCAAUAUCUAUGUUACAAUAUAAAUAUAAACAUCCAGUGUUGCAUACAGAAUUAACUUUGGGUGUAACACAGUUUUUCCUUACUCUCUGGACGAUGAAGGUAAAAGUCUGGAUAUGAGAGAGUUUAUUAUGGCCGUCAGGGAUUACUGGCAUCCCCAGGGCUAAUGCUGACAUUUCCUGACUUUGGCCCACCACCCUUUCCUCUGGGUCACAUUACCUCCUGAAAAAUCCCCUUUCCCUGGGUGGACUUCCAUAGAACAGCCUCUUUUACUAUAAAGAUGAAGCAAAUCCCAGAUUGGAAGGGUGGAACAUUAGGGCAAUGAGACACCAGACCUUUUGCUGGAGAUCUUCAAUGGUGUCGAAGUAACACUGAUAAUCGGGGCACACCAGGGGGACCUCCCCUUCACACUGUUCUCGGAUCCUGCACUCCAGCUCCGCGUUCAUCUCCUCCAGGCCUCGCACCUUCUCCAGGUAGUUGGCGAGUCUGUCGUUCAGGAACUGCAUCGUCUCCUUCUCGUUGCUGUUGAACAUCCCAUCCUCACACCAAGCACCGCUCCCCACCAAGCACGGAAUGUGACAAUUCCCAGCCAAGUAGCACGGUGUGACACAGCCGGUUGCCAAGCGAGACCCAGCUAGGAAGCUAGGGGUCUGGCCUCUGGAGGUGGCUUGGGCGCUGGGGAGGUGAGUGGUUUCCAUGGAACAGGGUGAAGCGAACACACAGUCGGAAGCUGUGGCACAGGAUUCAGAGGAGCAGCACGUAGGGGAGCAGUCCGAAGUCAUCCUAUCGAACGAAGAACCAAGACUAGUUGCAAAACUCCAGCUGACUGGCUGCCGAGGUCUCCUUCCCUCCUGAGACUUUUAUACAGUCCCCCAAAUGGGUAUUUACGGAACAGACCGGAUGUUUUCCUUAUCACUGUUGGUGGCAGUUGUCAUAUGAACACUCAUCAGGGUUGUUUGUUUGCUGAGGAAGAGUUUUAUGCUUCAUAAAAGAGGCAUAACUUCAGGUUACUAAAAAAGGACACUAUUUCCAUAUGCCAAUAGGAUAAAAUGCUUGGUCCAGAAUAAAAUCUUCUUAGGAAGCGCUGUCCGUUUGGCAGACUUUGGAAAGAUGGAGAAAAUGUGGCCCCUCAGUAAUUAGAGGUACAACUCAUGACAAAUAACGAAAACAAUAUUCCCACACAUUUUGAUCCUGGGCACUGGAAAUUGUUUAUGUAUCCUCUUAAAAUUCAUAUUACAUCUCAUUAAAUGCCAUUUAUUUGUUUGUGCCACCAUCAUAAAAAUGUUCCCUGUA